rnacentral:ncRNA from 2 species
AUAGAGUCAUAUGACUGACGGAAGUGGAGUAACCACAUGGAGUAUGACAGAUUUGAUGCCGACCGUCUGGGCGAUUACG